CCCUAGCCCCGAUAGAAACGGUUACCCCACAGCAUACAUUGGAAAGCGUUAGGGUUUAGAAGUUGGAUAGCAUGGUGCGAGGAGUAUGAGUGAAGAGCGGGAAAUAGC
rnacentral:misc_RNA from 1 species